UGCGGUAAUUUCGGGCCUAAUGAAAACCAGAGAUUACGCGGAACUAAUCGGAGCCUAGUUUUAGAAUUUUUAGAUCUUUUUUAUAAUAUAUAUUGAUAGCUACGGUAUUAAAUUCAAUAUAUUAACUUACUCCAACGGUUAGAUAGUAUUAAUCAUCUUGUCACGACCCGGGUUCCAUGUGUGGUAUGUGCUAUUUUUGCAUUUUAUUUGAUUUUAUCAGUUAAAUAAGAAAUUACUACUCUAGCCUCAC
rnacentral:lncRNA from 1 species